rnacentral:rRNA from 1 species
UACGUAGGGGGCAAGCGUUGUCCGGAUUUAUUGGGCGUAAAGCGCUCGCAGGUGGUUCGUCGCGUCGUGCGUGAAAGACCCCGGCUCAACUGGGGGGUGUCGUGCGAUACGGGCGGACUGGAGGCCAGUAGGGGGAUGCGGAAUUCCAGGUGUAGCGGUGAAAUGCGUAGAUAUCUGGAGGAACACCGGUGGCGAAGGCGGCAUCCUGGACCGGCAUUGACGCUGAGGAGCGAAAGCCAGGGGAGCAAACGGG